CAUUGGUCUAGGUGGUGAUUCCUAUGAAUGUCUCAGAAGGGAUGCUGCUCCCAUCUUCCCACUUCCAUGAACGGUGUCUACCUGGCUUUGAUGAGACCCGGGACAUGAUGGGACAAGCCCAGUCAGAGCAAGGGGCUCCUCUUAGCAUCCAGCAAUUGGUCCCAGGCAGUUUGACCCCAAAGCCAGGAAACAUCCACUCACAGUGAAAGAUUCAGCUCUGCCUCUCUGUCACUGUGUGACCUUGAGAAAGGGCUCUACCCUGGCCCUGCUUGUCUCAUCAGGAAAUGAGGACCACUGCUGAUGCUCACAGGACCUCUGAGAACAGCACAGCAUCAUUGUAAAAGAUCCACAGAUGCCUUCCAUAAAUUCCAGGGUUUUGUUUUCUUUGCCUUUUACACUGAGGCACCUUUGAGUGUUUCCUGAAGAGUUUCUGAGCACAUAAGAUGUGUGUGCGGCUCUCCUUUCCCACCCUCCAGGGUUGAGCCUGACUCCUUCAUAGCGAUCACUCAAUAAAUAUUUAUUGAUUUGAUCUGA